rnacentral:rRNA from 1 species
GACGAACGCUGGCGGCGUGCUUAACACAUGCAAGUCGAACGAUGAAGUACCUUCGGGAAUGGAUUAGUGGCGAACGGGUGAGGAACACGUGAACAAUCUGCCCCUUACACGGGAAUAACUUCGGGAAACCGAAGCUAAUACCCGAUAUUGAAUUCGGUAGGCAUCUACUGAAUUUGAAAUGGUCCGCCGGUAAGGGAUGAGUUCGCGGCCUAUCAGCUUGUUGGUGAGGUAACGGCGACCCAAGGCGACGACGGGUAGCCGGCCUGGGAGGGCGACCGGCCACACUGGGACUGAGACACGGCCCAGACUCCUACGGGAGGCAGCAGUGGGGAAUAUUGCGCAAUGGACGAAAGUCUGACGCAGCAACGCCGCGUGAGGGAUGACGGCCUUCGGGUUGUAAACCUCUUUCAAUCGGGACGAAGCGAAAGUGACGGUACCGAUACAAGAAGCACCGGCUAACUAUGUGCCAGCAGCCGCCGUAA